rnacentral:ncRNA from 1 species
UAUAAAUCGAAGAUAAGGACAGAAUUUUAUAAUAUUGAUUUAUAGAGAACUCAUGGUUGGUGGAAAUGAGUAUGAGUAUUAUAAGAUUAUCCCCUUAGAGUGGAUUAUUGAAUCAAGUAGGUAAUCUCGUAAACAGGCGUUAACUGAUUUAAGCGCUAGCUAAUUAAGCUAGAACAAAGGUGGUACCGCGAUUAAUUCGUCCUUUUU